GAGUUUGAUCUGGCUCAGGACGAACGCUGGCGGCGUGCUUAACACAUGCAAGUCGAGGGGGCUACUUCGGUAGUCACCGGCGAACGGGUGCGUAACACGUGAGCGACCUGCCCCACCGGUGGGGAAUAGCCGGCCCAACGGCCGGGUAAUACCGCAUACGCUCUCUUCGGGGCAUCUCGGAGAGAGGAAAGCCCUGGGCAACCAGGGCACCGGGGGAGGGGCUCGCGGCCUAUCAGCUAG
rnacentral:rRNA from 1 species